rnacentral:rRNA from 1 species
AGUAAAGCGGCGGACGGGUGAGUAACGCGUAGGAAUCUACCUAGUAGUGGGGGACAACUCGGGGAAACUCGAGCUAAUACCGCAUACGCCCUACGGGGGAAAGCGGGGGACCUUCGGGCCUCGUGCUAUUAGAUGAGCCUGCGUUGGAUUAGCUAGUUGGUGGGGUAAAGGCCUACCAAGGCGACGAUCCAUAGCUGGUCUGAGAGGAUGAUCAGCCACACCGGGACUGAGACACGGCCCGGACUCCUACGGGAGGCAGCAGUGGGGAAUAUUGCGCAAUGGGCGAAAGCCUGACGCAGCCAUGCCGCGUGUGUGAAGAAGGCCUUCGGGUUGUAAAGCACUUUCAAUUGGGAGGAAAGGUUGACGGUUAAUAACCGUGAGCUGUGACGUUACCUUUAGAAGAAGCACCGGCUAACUCCGUGCCAGCAGCCGCGGUAAUACGGAGGGUGCGAGCGUUAAUCGGAAUUACUGGGCGUAAAGCGCGCGUAGGUGGUCUGUUAAGUCGGAUGUGAAAGCCCCGGGCUCAACCUGGGAACUGCAUCCGAUACUGGCAAACUAGAGUGCGGGAGAGGGAGGUAGAAUUCCAUGCGUAGCGGUGAAAUGCGUAGAUAUGUGGAGGAAUACCAGUGGCGAAGGCGGCCUCCUGGCUCGACACUGACACUGAGGCGCGAAAGCGUGGGGAGCAAACAGGAUUAGAUACCCUGGUAGUCCACGCCGUAAACGAUGUCUACUAGCUGUAGGGGUACUUGAGACCUUUGUAGCGCAGCUAACGCAAUAAGUAGACCGCCCGGGGAGUACGGCCGCAAGGUUAAAACUCAAAUGAAUUGACGGGGGCCCGCACAAGCAGUGGAGCAUGUGGUUUAAUUCGAUGCAACGCGAAGAACCUUACCAGGCCUUGACAUCCUCGGAACUUUCUAGAAGAUAGAUUGGUGCCUUCGGGAACCGAGUGA